GCCAAAUCAUCAUGCUUGUCCUUUGGUAGGUGAAAGCGGCAUUGUUUGCAGCUGGUUUCGUAUGUCGGCUGUCAGAGGACUUCUCAUUCAUCAUCCUUGAAGUGCUGAGAAGAUUGAUUUGCCCAGGGAGAACAGAACCACAAGUGAUUGUGGCAGCAAUUAAGGCUUUUUCGAAGCUUGAUUGUACGUUGGCUGUUAUCCAUAGAGUUCAUGAGGUGUUUAUGGAUAUACAUUUGUUGCUUAAAUACGAAAUUUAUUCAUUUACUUCAAUUCGGGCUAACAUCUGUGCUGCCCGCGCAAAUUUAUAUGGACAUGUAACAUGUUCAUACCUAGUUACCCACACAUAUUGAACAAAAGCUGCACUCAUGGGCAUGGCCAAGCUAAUAUAUAUUUCAAUGAUAUUUUAUUCGUUGGCUUACAGGUGGAAUUAAAAACACAAAUAACUAAUGUGCGGGGAUGUUCUGAAAUGGAGGGAUUAGAACAUAACGGGUUACGGAUACAUUCUGCUUUUCACAAUCCUAAAGAGCUUUGUUAUUUUUGCAUGCAGUUGUUCUCACUGAACUAUAAGAACGAACUUUUUAUUGUUAACACCACAGGUUGGAAAACAGAUGGUUCUAGGCACACUGGAAGAUGUGUUCAAAGCUGAAAUGUUCUCUUCGCUUUCAAAAUUGGCAUCUAAGUCAAUCAUUUUGUUUAGUGACCAGGUGGAAUUACUGUUACUGUUUCUGGGUCAUGACUCCUCUUCAUCUAUGAAGUCUAUGGCAUUAAAGUGCUUAUGUUUUAUGUUUCACAGAAAUACCUGCCAUUUUCCUGUUACUAGGACUGUUUUUGGCAGAUUGUUGCUGCUAAUUAAUGAAGAGCAAUGUGUUAAGGAUUCCGCAGAAGAUGUUCCAUAGUAAAGCUCCAAGCAUUCACUAUGACAAUGGUUCUGAGUUAUCUAAGCUUGUUCUGGCUGCUGAAAAUUCUUUACAUUCUUCUUCCUGGGAGAUGCAAGGUACAGCUCUUGAAAUACUUGUGGAAAUAUUAUGCUUUCUCAAGCAAGCAAGGCCAGAUCUGACCAUAACCACUCUGAAAGAGAAGAACUUGGGAACCACGAAAGGCAAUUCCAUAAACCUCUGCAAAAUUCUGGACAGAGACAGAAUACUGGUAGAGCCUGGUUUCCAAUUAUCUCUGACCCUGUGCAUGCAGUGGAAGCGUGUGCUAGAAAGAGCUUCCAUUCGCCUCGUGAAAUUGUACUGCAUUUUAACUGCAAGUUCAACAUCCCGCUUAGAUGCAGCAGGAACGAGAAGCAAACAGUUUGAGCCGCACAAGAUCACUGAAAUGGUUUAACUGAGUACCAAACUGCUGCAUUACAUAAAGAAUGACCUGAGGAAAGGCAGGGGUGAGAAUAAUUGCCUUUCUGACACGGACAUGGUGAUAGCCUUUGCACGCUUUGAACCAACCAAUAGUGGGCAGGGAUUCUCAAGCUGCCUGAUGGAUGUCUCCUCGUUUCCUGAAGGUUCGUAUCAAAUAAGGUGGUACAUGUGCUGUGUUGACGAGAAUGGCUCCUAUUUCAGCCUCCUACCCCUAAACGAUGGUGCUGUCUUCUCUGUCCGGAAGUCCUGACUGAAUGGCUGGUGCGACGCUUGGGAGCAUACUCAUUUUUGUUCAGUCUUUGUUCUUGAGGACAUUUGAAUGCCCAGAGGUGUACAGAGGCCUGUGUUGCUGUGAUCAUCCUCUCUGGCCUAGGUUGUUAUCUUAUCACUCUCUUGCUUGUGUUCUGGCAGUGAAUUACAGAGGCUGGGUGCUGAGGCUCGUUGGCAGCAUGAAUUCUCAUGAUCUUGUUCAUAAUCUUUUGAUCUAUCAAGGCGGGCAACCUGUGUUGAUGAAGUAAAGCUGGCCACAGUUGCAUUACGAGACCCAGCCUGUGAAGUUAUCCGCCGAAUUUGCUGUCGAUCUUUGCCUUGCUGCUAUUCUAGAGUGAACACCAUAUUGUCUGUUGGAAGCAUCGGCACUAGUGUAGUGUAAUCUCAGCCUCUUAGUUCUGGAACUGAGGGAGUAGAGUGCUCCAAUCCAUGUUGGGGGCUUAGUUUAGUUGGUACUUGGGAGCAAAGUUGUAAUAGUUCCAGUUGAACUGUAACUUUGAGAAAGAUAAUACCCCCUCUAGCCUCUAGUAAAAAAAUACAUGAUAUUUUUGACUUUUUA